GCCGUCACGUUUAAUUAUUUUCGAAUAGAUAUUCUGUGAAUUUAUAUUUUGUAAAUUAUAUUCUUAUGUACACACACAUAUAUUAAUAAUAUAUUUAAAAAUACAAUGUGGAAUAUAAAUUAUAAAAAUAUAAAUAAAUUUAAUGCAUAAUUUCAAAAGAUUGUUAUGAAUAAUACGAAAUAAUACGUAACCUUAAUGAUAACCUAUAUGAAAGUUGAAAAUUUGAUAGUAAAAAAAAAUAAAAAAAGAAAAUCAAUGGUUUGAAAUAAUAAAUAUUUCAAUAAAUGCUUACAAGAUUUAAUUGUCUAUGUUACUAAUUAAGAAUAAUAUUAUUUAACUAUAUUACGUGGAAAUCGAGAAUAUGUAAAUGUUCGACAAUGUGGAAUUUAUAAUAGUCUAAUCUCCUGGUUUGUGUCGCAAAAACAAAUGUGCAACAGUGAUGCAGUAUUUAAAGAACCUGGCAAACAAAGAAAAUUCAUCAACCGAAGCAUAUGUAAACUUAUUACAGAUAUAAUUGCUCAAUUUUUUUCUGUAGAAGAUAAAGUCGAAAUAAAGAUCCAAGAAUCCACUGCAUUGUGUUUUCUUGUGAAAGAGGUGAAGAAAAUUUUAACUCUAGUGUUCUUAAAUGUCGUGAAAAAAUUCAUCCAAUAUGCCUGUCACUGCACACUGUCAGAAUACACAGGCAGCCUUAAAAUGUUAUGCAGAAGCAUGACUUUACAGCUAUUCUAUUCUAUCAUUUUUAAAUGUAAGUAAUGAAACGGAACAAGAAAUUUGAUUGGAUUAGAUAUAGGAAUACUUUUGGUCCUUCAGUAAAACAUAUAUCUGAAAAUAUAAUGGCAAUAAAAUACUAAGCUUGGAUUAAAUGUCCAUCAGGUUAAAAUAUUCAUUUUUCUUUUUUCAUUAGAAAAUUAAAACAAACAGAAUCAAACAUUGUUAUUUUUGUUAUUCUUCUAUGAUUAUAAUCUUUAUAAUUUAAUAUUUAAUUACAAACAUAUUUGCGUACAUUUUUAUGCUUUUUAUGUUUCAUUUGUGCAUUUUCCAAAUAAGAUACAAGAAGAAGAAUUUAGUUGUGAAUAUUAAUUUAGAUGAAAAUGAUUUAAGUAUAUCAAAAGAACAUUAAUAUCAAUGUAUCAUGUAACAAGAUGAACGAGAUAAAAUAGUAAGUAUUGGUAAGAAGAUUGAUAUGAAAUAUAUGAUAAAAAAAAUGCUUUCCAAUAAAGACUCUCCAAUAUUUUUAAUUAAUUUUAUAGUUAUUAUUGAAUUAGUUAAAUUAAUUAUUUGACUUUAUCAAUGAACUUUAUCAAUUUGAUUAUCAGCAAAUUUAAUUUCAGGACAUUUAAUUUUAACAUUAUUAGGUAUUUUUAUUAGAAAUUUUAUUGCAAUAAUUCCAAUUAAUUUAUUAAUUCAAAAUACAUUAUUAACUUUAGAAAUUUUUAUAUCAAUUAUUCAAUGAUAUGUAUUUUCAAUUUUCUUAAUUUUAUA